rnacentral:sRNA from 1 species
GCUGGGUGCAGUGGCGCAUGCCUGUAAUCCCAGUGGCUGGGGGGCUGGAGCAGGAGGAUCAUAAGUUCGAAGCCAGCCUUGGCAAUGGCAAGACGCUAAGCAACUCAGGGAGACCCUGUCUCUA